GUGGGGAAUAUUGGACAAUGGGCGAAAGCCUGACGCAGCAACGCCGCGUGCGGGAUGAAGGCCUUCGGGUUGUAAACCGCUUUCAGCAGGGACGAAAAUGACGGUACCUGCAGAAGAAGCUCCGGCUAACUACGUGCCAGCAGCCGCGGUAAUACGUAGGGAGCAAGCGUUGUCCGGAUAUAUUGGGCGUAAAGAGCUCGUAGGCGGUUUCGUAAGUCGAGUGUGAAAAAUCUGGGCUUAACCCAGUGGAGCACUCGAUACUGCGAUGAGUUGAGUCUGGUAGAGGAGUGUGGAAUUCCUGGUGUAGCGGUGAAAUGCGCAGAUAUCAGGAGGAACACCAACGGCGAAGGCAGCACUCUGGGCCAGUACUGACGCUGAGGAGCGAAAGCGUGGGGAUCAAACAGGAUUAGAUACCCUGGUAGUCC
rnacentral:rRNA from 1 species